rnacentral:sRNA from 1 species
CGUCACAUCAGGGAAUCAGGUGUAACUCCUGAACUGUACCCGCAGCUGUAAGCGAUGAGCCCUUUACAAGCCACUGAGUCACACGACUUGGGAAGGAGUAAAGCGCAAUGAGAACCUCAACAUCGUAAGUCAGAAUACCUGGACACACAUGAAUAUC